GUCAUUUAGAAGCUUGCUAAAAAUGUAGCAAGAGGCCAGGAUUAUUUUUAGUUGGAAAAGCUUCAUUUACUUCUCACAAGCUCUGUGGCCUGUUGUGCUUCAAUUUCGUCAUCUUCAAAACCAGGAAGAGCUAUAUUCAUCUUAUCUCACAAAGCUGAUUAACAUAAAUGAAGGAGCCUUGGAAAAUGGAAAGCAUUAUACAAAUUAGGGUAUAACCACAUGACUAAUGUCACAUAUAAAAAUGGAGAACGGGUGCACAUUAAAGAGUAGAGGUGCCUUCCACCAUGACUGUAAGUUUCCUGAGG
rnacentral:lncRNA from 1 species